ensembl:snRNA U6 U6 spliceosomal RNA
GUGCUCCCUUUGGGAGCACAGGUGCUAAGACUGGAGUGAUAACAGAGAUCAGCGUGGCCCCUGUGCAAGGAUGACAGGGAAAUCCAGGAAGAGGUUAAAACUAGA